rnacentral:rRNA from 1 species
UACGGAGGGUGCAAGCGUUGUUCGGAAUUACUGGGCGUAAAGAGCACGUAGGCGGGUUACUAAGUCAAUUGUGAAAGCCCCGGGCUUAACCUGGGAAUUGCAGUUGAAACUGGUAACCUUGAAUGCAUGAGAGGGUAGUGGAAUUCCCGGUGUAGAAGUGAAAUUCGUAGAUAUCGGGAGGAACACCAGAGGCGAAGGCGGCUGCCUGGUAUUGCAUUGACGCUGAGGUGCGAAAGCGUGGGGAGCAAACAGG